CACGCAGGCGGAUAUUUAAGUCAGGGGUGAAAUCCCAGAGCUCAACUCUGGAACUGCCUUUGAUACUGGGUAUCUUGAGUAUGGAAGAGGUAAGUGGAAUUCCGAGUGUAGAGGUGAAAUUCGUAGAUAUUCGGAGGAACACCAGUGGCGAAGGCGGCUUACUGGUCCAUUACUGACGCUGAGGUGCGAAAGCGUGGGGAGCGAACA
rnacentral:rRNA from 1 species